AGUCAGCUGAGGGAGACGAGCAUUGGAGGAGAGGAUUUAAAAGAGCCUGUUUCUUAUUUCCAAUCACCUGGCAAGGCCGUCUAAGAAAACACACUGAGCAAAUGUGCUUUUCCAGCCACACACAUUGUCUAGAUAGAAAAACAACUUCAAACAUCCCGUAGUGUUUUGGAAAAUAUUUUCUGGAUCUGUCAACAUCGCCCCUCAAAGAGAAGUGGUUGUCUGGAUUUUUGGACUCUUCUCAUGCGCAUAUUUCUCAAAAAUGGAAAUAACAAGAUCCUUCAAUAAUUACUUGGAUGUACACCACGGUUUUAGGAAUGAUUUCUUGGAAGCUUUGCUACACAGCAUUCAGUGGGUUUGAUUUCAUGGGGGAAGGGGUUGCUGAUGUGCGAGAGGGAGAAGGGAGGAAGAAGAGAACCCCAGAGAAGGACAAAGCAGCCCCACAAACAGAACAGAAGAAGGACGGAAACGCUUGGGUCUAAGAAUCACACCGUGCCACGCUUGCAAAGGUUAACUUAACUGUGACUCGAUGUAUCCAGAUUUCUACAACAGCAAACACGAAGGCUCUGCGGAUCUCAUCUUCCGGUGGACCCAGUGCAGCGCAUUCUGCGUGAUCAGAGUGAGAGAUACCCACCUCCAGCGAUAGCGAGCCUGGUGCCUGUGAGGUCAGCUCUGCAGGUGAGGGACUCCUUCCUUAUUCCCUUGCUUGGAAAGGUUCCUACAGAGUCUGCAGACUUCUGGGUCAGGACUGUCAAGAAGAGUGAGGAGGGAUUCUUGGAACACUCAACCCUAAAAGCAAUGACUCUAUCCAAUCCUUCCCUCGGGGCUCAGGGAUGCCCCAGAAGAGGAGGCUGAAGAAAACAAGGCCCUCUAAAUCAACAUGAUAAAAGCUCUCAGAGACUGAGGCAGCAUACACAGGGCCUGCACAGUUCUGCGAUUGUAUUGUGGCUUCCAGGAAGGCUGCUACUGAACAAACGGGCCAUUAAGACACCUUUCAUGGCUCUGCCAGCUGACCAAUCUGAGAGACCCACUGGCAGAUGCCCCGGGAGGAAGAAAAUGUGGAAGAAGUGGUCAGCAGGUAGACAUUUGGUAUUUUCCCCAGUAGAGCUGGCCUUUCCUUUGUAGGAGCAAACAAGCCACUGGUUAGGAUCUUAGCGACUGACUGUGGUGCAGGCAUCCUGUGAAUAUCCUCCCGCUAAGGGACAUGUACACAAAUCCCUGUGUAUACCUCGAAUCACAUUAUUUCAAGGGACACCAUUAAAUAGUGAAACUUCUUGUCAGGAGGUAAUCAACUGACUCACGGGUGAGCAGCAGCUCUUGAGAAUAAAGCUCCCCACCACACUUCCCUGCUGCUGCCUCCUCUUCCUGUCAGGCUCAGAGCUGGAGAGCGCUGACUAGCAUCCUGGAUUCUCUAGUGUCCCCACGGAAAGCACAACAGCCCCCCUCGGCAUCAGGGGUGGAAGAAAAAGAGACCACCAAGGGCAAGAGGGAGAACAAGAGUCCGGGCCUUAGAAGGAAGCUACCUGGAAAAGGAGCAUGUGAUGUUCUGCUGGAGCAGAUGCUUGAGAGGACACGUGAUGCUUGGAAAGGGUGUAAGUAUAACCCCACAGACAGCGGAAGACAGGGUGGCAUUGGUUUACCUUGCCACUCUUUGCUGGUUUUCAUUGGGCUUCGCUGAUGACCUUGCCUUCUUCACUGAGCAUCACCUGUCAUGACUUCUUAGAGAGAAACGAAUCAAAGAACUUCUUGUGAUAUUCAGGUAGCUUCUUGCUGUUUCUGCCCAGUUGGCAGAACAGAACGUUGAGGUUUCUUCUGGAUCUGGUUGCUGCUGCUGCUGCUGAUUUGUGUGGACUGACUGCUGAUAUCCUGACAACGAAGAUUGGAAUCAACAAAGAUUGGAACUAUUUCUAAACACACCCACAUCCCCCUUUGCCCUAUUAACCUUUCCUUUCUACUACCUCUGGUGGGUGAUGGGUAAGAAGGGAGGUUAAAGCAUUUAAGAACCCUUAUUAAAGUAGGUUUUGAAAACUCUAAGCCUACAGCUCAGUGACUCUGUUGCAGAUCUGUGUAACUCAUGACUUUCUAACCAAAGCUGCACAAUGAUUGUUCCCAGGAGAUAUCAGAGACAAGAGGUUGGAGAUUAACAAAGACACUGAUGGUCUUCUGCAUACAAAUAUGACUCUGAGAGAGACACAGGGAACAAUUCCUGUUCCUGCAAGUUUAGAUGGGAUUCUGGGACUUCAGGGUUGUGCUUGCAAGUCAUGUUAGUAAGCAUGUUAGACCUGACUGUGGCUCGUCCAUGCCAGUGGCUCACUGUACUAACCCUAGAGGUCAAGAGGCUGCAUGUGUGAGCCUGCCUGUGUCUGAUCUCUUUCUCUUACACAGAAAGCUUCUUAAACAUGAGAAGACAGUGGUGCACCAAGGAGAGCAGACUGAGAUGAACCUGAGUGGGAAAUGGGGUUUUCCAAAAGAGUCACAGAGCUGUACACCAGGGGAACAAGGAGUGGUAGAGAGUGCCAGAGAGUCAAGGUUAACAAAUUUAGAACAUAAAUAUGUUUUCUUAAGAUAUAAUUUCCUCAAUGAUACUUCUUACGUUAAAGAAAUAUCAUCCUUCCAUCAAGGAUGUGUGGCCAGGUCCCAAGUCAAUGUCUUAUUCCAUUUUUUCUGAUCCAAGGAUACAGAAGAGAAAGCAGUGCAUCCAGCCAGGCACACUGCAGCAGGUAGUGACCAUCAGCACCAUGAGGCAAGGUCCACGUCCAAUGAAGAAGGAGCAGGGGAUAUUGCAGCUGAUACAGGACAUCCAGAUAGACAUCCACCUGUACUCCAAUGAAGAGAGAGCCACACAGAGAAAGAACUGAAGAUUCCUCUUUAUCAAGAACCUGUCACAAUCACCCUUCUACACUGAGAGGUGGAAUCACAUCACUUCCCGUGGCCAUUCCUUCUGACAAAAUAAGUAGGAAAAUACCAGAAAUGAAGGUUUAGGGUGGUCAUGUUUUCUCAUAGUUCAAACGGCUAAGAUCUUGACUGAAAAGCAAAGGCGAGAAUGACCUCUACAGCAGGGUAAUGAAAACUGACCUCCAGCAAGGGAGAAACCAUUUCAAGAUGUUGGUGACAUCAUCUAAAGUCAACCAGGUCUUAAAUCCUAGUUGAGGUCACUAGGGCCUGGGUAUCCAAAACAACAUCAGUGCUGAGAAUUCCUUCACCAAAUUAACGAAUCAAGUCAGAGAGCAGUGAUGUUGUCUGAGGUGACAGAGCACUUGCCUAGCUUGCUGGAAGCUCUGGGGUGGAUCCCCCAACACUACAGUAAAUGGGGCAUAACGGUGUGAGCCUCUCAUCCCAGCACUAGAGAGGCAGAGGCAGGAAGAUGGAAAAUUCAAGGUUACCUAGGACUCUUAGUAAGUUUGAGGCCAGCCUGGGAUACAUGAAACCACAUCUUCAAAAGUCAAACAACAAAUCUGUUCCCUCCCUCUGCCAUUUGCCUUCAUACUUCUGCUGUUUAAACCUGAGUUUAUGACCCUCAGAAUGGCUUCAAAUGGCGGUCAUUCACCAGCUCCCACCCCAUACUAUUAUUUAAUAAAGCUGCAGGAAUGAUAAACUG